GGAGUGUUCAAAAUGGGGUAUAUAUACUUGUGAUGGUGAGAACAUGUUUUUGUCUGAAUACAAGCUCUUAAAGCUUUGGGUCCUAAGUAAUUCCGUCUCCCAGAUUGCAAUUCCUAUGGCUUCAACUAGAUGUCAAGUCUUUAUUCAAGGUUUCAGGCUUGUUUUUUGAAAAACAAGAAAGAAUUUGGAGUUUUGGGGAAGAGAGCACCGGAACAAUAUCAGUCUUUCGGUGCUCGAGGGAGAGGGCGCGCGCUUACUAAUUUUGCUUUCCUAUUGAACAUACUACUUUCCGUAUGAAAUAUUAUAGUUUAUUUACAUUUUAGGGUACCUGAGGAUUAAAAAGAAACGUCGUUUGACAUGUUUGGACGAAUUUUAGCGGUAGCUUUUUGGACUCCUUUGUCUGCAUGUUGAAUGAGUGGAUUACUGAAAUCGAUGGCGCCUACUAAACAGACUUUUUGUGAGAAAACGAUGCAUCACCAAACGAGAGUAUGGAUAUACAACAACUCAUGGCGAGGCUGAAUCAGAUGAUGGACAACCACACGGUGGCUGAUAUGAAUGAAAGGUUUUCAAGUAGCUCAACUUUCCAACAACAGCAUCAGCAGAGCACUCCUCCAGCGCCUGCACUGGAAUGGGCGACGGGCAUUCGUCGAGCAAAACGGAAUGAGCUAUCCGUAAAUUUACACCUGUGCACUGGGUCUGCUGGUUCGUCAACUGAGAAUAAGGUACACAGAUAGAGAGUGGAGCAUGGCAGAUUUUGAAGGCUCUGGCCAAUCGGUCAAAAUAACUCUCUGCUGAAGAUAUUUACGGGGGGAAACUGAAGACAUGAUGUCCGAUGGAGACAGAACCACCCUGGCAUUACCUGAGUUUGAGGACCUGAUUGCAUCAGAAGACUGGAGAAGGGCUAAGCGUGCUUAAGGGGAGAAAAGGCUCCGUCAGAACGAAAUCUGGAGCAACCAUCCAUGUCCACUGCAGCCCUACCCAGAACAUCUGAUUGCAGGUGAUUGGCCGUGGUCAAUUGCACAAAGUUCCUCAGUGUCCACAUCACUAAGGAAUUAACAUGGUCCACACACACACAGUUGUAAAGACGGCACAACAGCACCUCAUCCCCCUUAGGAGGCUGAAAAGUUUUGGCAUGGGGUCCUCAAAGUUCUACAGCUGCACCUUUGAGAGCAGUUUAACUGGCUGCAUCACCACUUGGUAUGGCAACUGCAAGGCACCCAACCGCAGUCCCCAUGCUUGUCUCAGAGCAGCGCAAAACGGUGCUAAAAUAGUUGUAGGCUAUUGCUUCAAAUCCUAUUGCUUCUAACUUCAAUAUGCUCUUUAAAUAAAUAAGACCUACACCACUUUUAACAGCACAUUACUCAACACUAGUGAGACUCAUGUCGCCUAGUGUAGGCCUACAGUUUAUCAAAAAUAUGACAUGACUCUCCGACAAUAAUUACAUAUAGAGGAUUGGAGGAUUCUAAAUUAAAACCAAAAGCCGCCUCAUGGGUCUCCCGGUGGCGGCCGGCAUGAGUAUCUGUAGCAAAGCAUUUUGCAUUGCGGUGACUUAGACAGCUGCGCCACUGGGGAGGACCCAUCCACAAAGUAUCAAAAUACAGAGAGGUGUUGGUAAAGGUAUAUUGUCCUGCUAAUAGCACAUAAUGGGCUAUUAUAUAGUGUACAUGGUGUCCAGGUCAGGAUAACCAAAACAUGUAUUUAUCAAAGACUAUCAGAAAGAAUGUUGGUACUUAUUUAUUUUGAUCCAAAGCCAUGAA
rnacentral:lncRNA from 1 species